rnacentral:lncRNA from 1 species
GCUUAGCUACUAAACAGUAGCUAUUGGGAGGUGGGAAGGAAUACUAUUGUGUAAUCAACUAAGGCUCAUACAGAGGAUUAGGGUUAUCUGAAUUGAUUUGAAUUAAUUAGAAUUUACUCUCAGAGCUGUGGCAAUUCCUUGAACCACACUGAUUGCUAUAAAGUGGAAGAGGAAUAGAUUGAAUUUUGGGGAGUCAACUACAAUGUGUACUACAGGAACAAAACCCAUCAGAAGAUGUCAGAAGAUAAGGAUUUUUGUCCUGAUGCUACACUUACCAGCUGUCCCUCAGUGUUCUACUUCUUAAAAAAAGAGAGGUUGGUCCUGAUCCCUGGUUCUUAACCAGGGGAAAAUGAAGUGGGGCCAGGGCAUGUGCAGACUUAAAAAUUACACAGGGGAAUGUAGGCACGAUCUGUUUAAGAAAUACUGGACUAAAUGGUCUCUAAUCUGUGAUUGUAGAUUAAAGAAUAAUCUACAAUCUACACCGUGUUGGCCAGGCACGGUGGCUCACACCUGUAAUUCCAGCACUUUGGGAGGCUGAGGUGUGUGGAUCACAUGAGGUCAGGAGUUCGAGACCAGCCUCACCAAUGUGGCAAAACCCCCUCUCUACUAAAAAUACGGAAAAUUAGCUGGGUGUGGUGGUGCAUGUCUGUAGUCCCAGCUACUCGGGAGGCUAAGGCAUGAGAAUUGCUUGAACCUGGGAGGUGGAGGUUGCAGUGAGCCAAAAUCACGCCACUGCACUCCAGCCUGGGUGACAGAGUGAGACUCUGUCUCAAAAAAAAAGAAAAAAUAAAUAAUCAAAUGUAAAGUUAGCACAUAAAGGAGGCAUGUACAUAUUAUUAAAAUCUAUAUGACUACCUCUCCUUUUUCAUUUUUGGCUCAAUAUCUGUAUCUGAACACCUAAUUAAUGAAAGGAAAACAUUUGUAAUAUGUAGCAACUAAAAUGUCACCUUCUCUGUGGGGAUCAC